GAUGAACGCUGGCGGCGUGCAUAACACAUUCAAGUCGAACGGAGUUGUUCCCUUCGGGGAUAACUUAGUGGCGGACGGGUGAGUAACGCGUGAGCAACCUGCCUUGCGUUGGGGGAUAACGACCGGAAACAGUCGCUAAUACCGCAUAAUGUAUCCCGAUUCGCAUGUUUUGGAUACCAAAGAUUUAUCGAUGCAAGAUGGGCUCGCGUCCGAUUAGGCAGUUGGUGGGUAACGGCCCACCAAACCGACGAUCGGUAGCCGAACUGAGAGGUUGAACGGCCACAUUGGAACUGAGAUACGGUCCAGACUCCUACGGAGGCAGCAGUGGGGAAUAUUGGGCAAUGGGCGAAAGCCUGACCCAGCGACGCCGCGUGAGGGAAGAAGGUCUUC
rnacentral:rRNA from 1 species